AGGACAGAUGAGCAGCCUCAGAGACGGUGUUC
rnacentral:piRNA from 1 species